GCGUUGGUAGUUCAGUGGUAGGAUUCUCGCCUUCCACGCAGGAGACCUGGGUUCGAUUCCAGGCCAGUGCU
rnacentral:tRNA from 1 species